rnacentral:snRNA from 1 species
UUUAAAACCGCCCCGCGUGUUU